rnacentral:lncRNA from 1 species
CUCCAUGGUGAAGGUAUCUCUGAUCAUUGAAAGAUCUCUGAUCAGUGAAAGACAGACAGAGUUCAUGGGUUGCCCUUCACAGCCAUUCUCCUCCUCUUCCUAAGUAGUGAAAGGUUUAGCCGAGCGUACUGCUGCUUAGUAUAAAAAGAGCAUUUCCCAGUCUCCUUUGCAGUUAGGAUUCAGUCAUGUGACUAAGUUCUGGCCAAUGGGAUGUAAGUAAAAGUAUCACAUGGCAGCGUCCAUCAGCCUCCCUUAGUCUCUUUUUCCUCCUUUCCUCCAUCCUGCUACUGGGAAUGAUACUUGCUCUUGGAACCCAACUCUAUGCUGUGAGGAACCUGAAGCAAUUAGUGGAGAGGUGCACGGAAAGGACCACGGAAGGUCCCAGCCCACAGCCCCCGCUGCGCUCUCCUCUAACAACCAGCAUCGACUUACCAGCCAAGAGAAGGAGCCAUUGUGAAAGUGGAUCUUCCAGACCUGAGCUAAGCAGCCCAGGCUGAUACCACAUGAAGCACGGAUGGAGCUGUUCCUAGUGAGACCCGCC